rnacentral:rRNA from 1 species
CCUACGGGAGGCAGCAGUGAGGAAUAUUGAUCAAUGGACGAGAGUCUGAACCAGCCAAGUAGCGUGAAGGAUGACUGCCCUAUGGGUUGUAAACUUCUUUUAUAUGGGAAUAAAAUGUUCCACGUGUGGGAUUUUGUAUGUACCAUAUGAAUAAGGAUCGGCUAACUCCGUGCCAGCAGCCGCGGUAAUACGGAGGAUCCGAGCGUUAUCCGGAUUUAUUGGGUUUAAAGGGAGCGUAGGUGGUUUGUUAAGUCAGUUGUGAAAGUUUGCGGCUCAACCGUAAAAUUGCAGUUGAAACUGGCAGUCUUGAGUACAGUAGAGGUGGGCGGAAUUCGUGGUGUAGCGGUGAAAUGCUUAGAGAUCACGAAGAACUCCGAUUGCGAAGGCAGUUCACUGGACUGCAACUGACACUGAGGCUCGAAAGUGUGGGUAUCAAACAGGAUUAGAUACCCGAGUAGUC